AUGGUGUUUGUUAAGUGUUAAUGAAUGCUUGUAAUUGAUGAUCUCCAAUGUCAACUUGCUUGUACUUUGCUUAGUUUGCUUAAUACUCAUCAAGUGUUUGUUGAAAUGCCCCAACCAUCUUUGUCAUCCUAGUUUUGCAUUUUCUUAGCUUAGAUUCUUACAAUGCUUUGUUAAUUGAAUGUUGCAUGGUUCUCUUAUGUUUAUGUCUUCAUUUAAUUGCAAUUAGACAAGGUUAGAUUACGUUCUAUGCUUAAUUUUUUUAGUUGCUUACUUUAUGUUGUCUUUAAUUUCCUUGCAAUCAUAGUUUAAGUUAGACUAGGUUUUCUUAUUUGCAUCGUCUUUCAUUUACUAGGUUAGGUUCAUUUAAUGCUUUGCUAUUUCAUUCCUUAGUUUAAUUUCAUUAAUGAUAAAAUCGUAGCAUAGAGUGACAAUGCGUUGUGAGAUCACUAUUAAUGGGUAGAUAGAAUUUCUUUUAUUCAUUAGGACUAGAUUUCGUACUUACAUUGUUCUUUAUUCUAUAGACUCAAAAUUCAAAACCCAAACCCCAGUUUCAUAUCAAAAAUCCAAAAGUCAUAACCAAUCCUGAAGUUAUCAUCCUAUCGUUACAUUCGUUGGGAGACGACCCAAGUCAGCUCUAUACUACUUUAGUGUAGAGGGGUUCGGUAACUUUAAUUGUAAUUUGAUAAGCUCCCGUAGCACGACACUCGAGUUCUUAUCAAAUUUUGACGUCGUUGUCGGGGAAACGGUAGUGGUGUUUGAUAAUCUUAGGAUUGUUCUUUAUUUUGAAAACUUAAAAAAAAAUUGUUUCAAUUGUUUUCCUGUUCGUAUAUCCAUGUGUUUGAUUCUAUAUGCUCCUGAAUAUUCUGAUUUUAUUUGCUAGUUGUCAGUGUAAGAACAUGAAAUCUCUUUGACCAUGGAUUCAUAUUAUCAGUAUUUUGUAGGUAGGAGGGAGAGUCAUUACUAUCAGCCUAAGACUGGGUUCUAUCAGCCUGAAUAUCAGUACUAUCCACCUAUGGAGCAGCAUAAUAGAUCUAGCCGACCAAAAUUCAUAUGGGUUUCAACAGAACUAUUCUCAAAUUGAAGAGUCAACAUGGAGAGUCAAUGAGGUUAUGCAGCAAAUGAGAGAACAUCAAGAGCAACAAUUUGUAAGGAUACAGAAUAUACAGAGUCAAUUAGAUCAAAUUGCAUCAUUCAUCAACUAGUUACAAACACAAAACUUCAGUGGGGAGACGGAUAGUAGAGAUUUUGUUAGAUGUUGUAGAUGUUGUUGAUGAUGCAAGAAUUGAAAAUUUACUUGGAGAGAAUUUAAGUGUAGGGGAUUGCUUACGAGAAGCAAUACCUCAAGAAUCACCUGAACCAUCACCUGAGCUAGAUGUUGAUGAAUUAAGUGUAGGGGAUUGCUUAUUGGAAGCAAUACCCCAAGGAUCACCUGAACCGGAGUUUGAGCCAUUAUUUGAUGAGGAGGAGGUAAUAAUCACCAUUCUAGAAUAUUCAGGUAUCUUUCAAAAUGACAAGGUUAGUAACUCUUGUGAUUUAUUAGAAAAUUUAAUAGAAGUACCAUUCAUUGACUUUAUUAGAUGUGAUUCAUUGCUUGAUAUAUUUUUUUUUGUCAAAACUAAUAUUCUCCUAUCUUCUUCUUAUCCCACAUGCAUGUGGGAGGUGUUGUUCUUUAUUGAUUUUGUAGGAGAAUAUAAGCUUUCGCAGUGGAUGCUUAGACUGAACCGCCUCCGACCUCCAGAAAGAAUUUUCAAGAGAAAAAUGAUGAAUAAAAAGGAUUUAACUACAACCAAGAUUGCUCCAUUACCGGGGUGGCUUCUACUUCUGAACCUUAUUCGACCACCAGAAAUUCAAGGGAGUUUGUUCCAUUCCACCUUUAAUUUGUCAUUAUAGAUAUCAAGUCUUUAUUUGUUGCAUGAAUAAUCUCUUAGUUUACUUUAGCAAUCUUGUUUGUCUUGUAAGUAAUCUUUUCGGUUUUCGAAAAUAAAAUGCACCCCUUUCAUUUCUUUAUAUCAUUUUAGAGAAUUUUGAAAGCUAGUUAAAUUUGAUCGUUGAGUUUGAAAUUUAUUGUUAUGAAUGGAUUCUUGGAUUGCAUUAGGUUACUACUUAGUGAUGGAAUUUAGAUUGAUGAAUUGAGAUAAUAAUUUCCAUACCUAGUGAGGAUUUAGCUUAUUUGUGUGAUGCACUUGUGUGAUUGUCACUCUAGAACAUGUUUUGAUUCUUUCAAAACCACAAUACUAAUAAAUUGAAUCAUGCUUAUGAAGGUUAUUCUAUUUUUCCCCACAUGUCUCUUGCUAAUCUUCUUGUGAAUCAUAAUAUCAUUUUAUCUUUUCUCAUUUAUGAAUCUUUGGAUGUGGAUACCUUGCUUGUUAUAUGAUGAAUUAUUUGGCUAAGAUGGAUAAAGUUAAAGUGUGGGGGAGAUGCUUGGUGUUUUUGAGUAAGUGGAUGUAUUUUUAAUUGGUUGGAGUGCUGAAUUUGUUUUUUUUUUGAGAAAAGCCUUUCAUGAUCCAAGCUUAGACUAGUUGUGCCACUUAUUGAUGCUGUUUGGGAACAACAUGUCUCUUAAUUCAAGUUCUUAAGAUUGUAGUGAGCUUAAUUUUUGAAGAAGCACGCUGGAAUUAUUUUGGAAUUUAAGAAUCGUAACUAUUGAGUGGUUCUGUGCACAGCAGAUUUGUUCAGUCUUGGGAAGUAUUGCUGAAUUUGAAAUGCACAUUGCUUGAUUUGAAGUGCACUAGGAGAUUAAACAAGUACUCGUAUUGAAAAUCUGGAAUUGUUGGUGCAGAAUUUAAUUAACCUCAAGUUGUGCAGAAUUUUUGGUGCAGAAAAAAAUCUAUGAAGUGAUUGUAUCAACCUCAAGUUGUGAUGCCAAGUUGAUUCCAGUUCAGGGUUCAAAGGAAACCUCCUCAAGCUUAAUCGAGUAGCAUAUUCUUUCAAGUGUCCAAUCCUGAAAUUUGUAGGUGUCAAGCUGAAUUGUGAUUUUGAAAAGCAAUUCACUGGUUUGCCAAGAUUCAAUUCCAGAAUUGAAAUCAGUUGGAAUUCAUAUUUAAUUUGAUGGUGGAGUGUUGAAAUGAUGCAAGGGAAGUUAAAUAUUAGAUGCAAGUUGCAGUUUGGAAAUAGUUUAAGAUGUGAUAUCAAGGAGCAAGGGCUAUUUUGUGCAGUUUUUCUUGUGCCAAUUAUUGAGCUUGUUUCUCAAUAAUAUUAUUUUUAAUGGAUGAUUCUUAAAAUAGUAGUGCUAAACUUAAUCAUUCCUUGUGCUCAAAUAUCUUUGAAUUCUGGAAAUUGAUACUAUGGUGAUCCUUUAUAGAGCUAAAGAAGUAUUCUGAUAUUGAUUUAACAAUUCAUUGCUGGAGCUGGCAUUCUGAGCAUUGCUAAUCUGUACAACCAUCUUAAAAGUCAUGAAUUGGGACUUGAGUGGUAGCUGAAUCUGUAUAGGAGAUUUAUUUAAAAUGCUAAAAAUCUGUUACUGUGGAAGCAUGGCUGAAUAUACAAGUUGUUGAUGAGCAAUUAUUUUAAAAUGCUACUGAUGGAAUGCUAAUGUGGAUAUUGGAGUGUACUGGAUAAACAGAAUGAGUUAAAGUUGAAGAAGAAUGCAAAAAUGAAAGAAGUUACUGAUAGUUACGUGGAAACAGAUUGAAUUGGUGUAGAAGCUGGAAAUUUAGUAAUGCAGAAUUUUGUAUCAAUGGUGUGCUAAAAUUCAGAAAUCUUACAAGAUGCAGAACCAAAUGGAUAUUUCAGCCUUUCCAUGAACUCUUCAAACUCUUUAAACUUUGGAAAUUGAAAUGCAGAAACUCUAAAACAGUGAAUCCGGAAACAGUGAAUGAAGGCUGGUGCUAAGUCUGCAGGAAUGAAGACAAAUGGAUAGGUGAAGUACUACUCCAUUCAAGAACUCCAGAGCAUAAUUUAAGAUUUGAAAUGAAAAAAAUGGAGACAAGGGGCAGUGAUACAAGAACUAUGUAUCAAGAUUGAACUGAGCUAUUGACUUUAUUCCUUCCCCUUGCUAAUUGUUUUGUUUCAGGAAUCUCUGAAGUGGAAGUUGAGUUCCUAAUUAUGAUUAGUAAAAAUUCUAAAGUAGGCAGUCAACCUCUUAGUGGUAUUUGGUGUUUGUUUCUUUCCAAGCCUUCGUGAUUGAUGCAUCAAUCCCUUAUUGUUGUGUGUCAAGUUUUGGGUCACAGAUUUCUAAUCAGCAAGAAGUCCAAGUGGAGCUUUUGAUCUUCAAUUGACAUUUGUUUUUUUUCUCCCCAAGUUCGUAUAAAUCCAAAUCCUGAAAAUUUCAGAAACUAAAUUCUGAAACUGUCCAGUGUCAAGACAGAACAAAAAAAACAGGAACUGACAUGUUUAGGAAGGGAGUUGCAUGGAUUAAAUUCCAAGCAAGUAAAGAUGCAAAUAGGAAUAGGUCAAAAACAUGGAAGAACUGAUGACUUAUUCGCAGUAAUUCAAAUACAAAUCUGAGUUUGGAAAGAAAGUAAAGAAAAGGAAGAAAGAAGAAAUAGAAAGUAGAAAUGAAAUCUGGUAUGAAUGUAUCAAUUUGAACAUGUGUGCCAAGAGUAAAUCCUUUUGAGAAUCACAAUGAAUAUCUAUAUGCUGGCAACUUCUUGAGAACAUGCUUUAGAACUGAUUGUUGAUUUCUGAAGGAUGCAUGAGUUGUGGUUUUGUGGAAGCUGAUCUAGAAUGGAAAUCAGAAUGUAGAGAUGCUAAUUUUUUUUUUUUUGCUCAGUAGAUAUGCAACUGAGGUUGAUUGAGAAUCUGAACAGCAUCUUGUGUUAAGUAUUUCUUGCAAUUUCAUUGACUUAGAAUCCUAAAGAUGACAUCUGAAAUGACAUAUCAAAUAAUGAUACUCUAAAUCUGAAACUGCCUUAAAUUUCAAGAUCUAGAAUUAGAAUCUGAAAAAAAAAUAGAAUUUCAUAAAUGAGUUUCAUUUUUGGAGUCUUUGGCAUGAUUUUUGAAUAGAUGUACCCAAUCUUAAAAGACUUCCUAGCUGUUGUGGGUAGCAUUACUACUAUUUUGAAGAAAAGGAUCAGUGAACAUGUAGUACUAGGAAGCAAGAAGCUGGAAGCUGCUGUAAUGAGAAGUAAUUUGUUGCAAAUCAGAUAAAGUUUGGCAGUUUCAAUUUGGAAUCGAGUUGGAAUUUGCUCUGUCACCUUUUGCUAUUAAGUCUUUAUAACCCUAUCGAGCUGAAUCCUAGUUUUAAUUUCCUGAACGGCAGAUAAUUGAUGGAACUAAUAUGAUCUCUGAAAAAAAAACUUGGUCAGCAGAGUUUGUCAAGGUAGAAUUUGGUGCCAAAAUGUUUAUGUUAUUUUUGGAUAGCAACAAUCUUACCAAGUGUUUCGGUUCAUGAUGGAGAACAGUGGCAAAAAGGGAGCAGGAGCUGAAUGAAUGGCAGUCUUUGACAAUGACAAUUUCAAUUGAAGCUCAACUUCUACAUGACUCAAUGCCUGCAACUUCCUUGGACCUGACUUCUCGGCUAUGAUUCUGAAACCUGUUAAGCUAAGUUCAUUAAAAAUUAUUGAUGAAAUGCAUACUCUUCUUGUUGAUGCUGAGGAAACCCAGGAAUAAACUGCAUUACAGAAAAUAUAAUCUGUAUCAACUCUUGUGUGCCACAUUGCUCUUUUGAUUCUUAAAUCAGUGAAAUGCUCAAGUAAAGCCUUUGUUUUCUCAUUAGCACUUAUAUUUUGUUAUGUUCCUAUGAAAUCUGAUUUUAGAAAUCAGGUUUUGAUGCUGAAAGAGUGAAGAGCUAAACUAGAUUGAAGAGAUGCUGGAUUUUCAGAAAUGAAAACAGAAUUGUUUAAGAGAUGACGAAUUAUAUCUCUCAUUAGUAAAUAGUGAAGAUUAAGAUAUGAGUUCUACAUGGAUAGAUGUGUAUGUUCUUUUCAAAGAAUUUUGAUGACAGAGCUGGAUGGACAGAUUGUUGAAUUACCAGAGCAGCUGAAAUGGAAAACUGUAAACUGUUGAAACAUGGAUCUGUUGCUGAAAACCUGAUCAAGGAGCAGGAUUUGAACUUCGAUUAGUGAUUGUCAUUCAAUUCAAGAAGCAUUCUAGAGGGAGUCAUAAGCAUUUAGAAGGAAAAAUGAAGAUAAUAGUAACCAAUUGCUACUUUAAAUGGUGAUGAACUUAAAUCUGCCACUAGGCAACAACUGCAUCAACUUGCAAUUUUAUUUCUGAUCAGGAAUUAAUUAAAUCGAAGCUGUAUUUGAUUGAGUAGUUGAAUGAUAUAUUCUGAUUAGAUUAAAACCUGGAAGCUCAAUCUGAAGUCCAAGAAAAUCAGAAAUGGAAACUGAACCACUCAAAUGCAGAAAUUCAGAAAUGAAAAGCUGCUGUUUAGAGAUAAAACCUGUUUGAUUUCUGAAUUAAACAAGGUAAAACCAUUGUAUGACUAACCAAGGAAUGAGCUCUAAUUGCACAAGAGAAAAACAAAAUGUAGUAGUGGCUGGAAGGCUGGCAGAAAUACAGAAGUAUAGUUGUGGCAGAAAUGAGAGGGAAGUUGAAGUUGCUCUCUGUGCAGAAAUGGCAUCAGUAUGAAAUGCUGUUUUUAUUGGAGAACAAAUCUAUUGGUUUUUUAACUAUACUAAACAUAGGAAAACAUCUUUAAGCUGAUCGGGAAACAAGUGUAAAGGCAACUAAUGAACAAAAUGUUAAAAAAAAAGGCAGUAAAUUGGAAAACAAGAAUUCAAUGUAGAGUUGAAGUAAGUGUGUAUCAAUUUGUAUCAUCAGCUCUCAAAGUAACAAGGAAAACCAGUCAGCCUCUUACAUUUACAGAUUCAAAUGGUGUCUCAAUUCUUCCUAUGCCUUUUUAUAUUGCUUUGAAUAGAAUUUUGAAAGUAUCAAAUGGUUUAAAUGGAAAAUUAUGAGUUGUUUGAAUAGGAUGAGUGUAAUUGCAGGAAAUCUGUUAUGGAGAGCAAAAUUGGAAAUUGAAUUGGUGAGUACCAUUUCACUUAUGAAGCAGUCAAAUUGAGAAAUCAUUCCUGAAGAAACGAAGACAAUGAAAAUUAUUUGAUAUUACAAGCAGUGAAAAAAAAAUAAAAAAACUGUUUGAUGUAGAAUCUAAUAGGAUCAAAUCUGUCGGUUUCAAAUCACAAAUGGAAUCAUUUUUCAUCUAAUCAAGAAAUAGCUACAAGUUACAAUGAAGGAAAUAUUCGAGAAGUCUAAGUGUUGAGGAUUAAAAGGGAACAACACAGAAAUGGUAUAGCUGAAUUAAGCUGGAAAUUCUUCACUGUGCAGAAUUUGAACUAGCUCUCUAUCAGCCUAAAUUAGAAUGUGCAGAAUUGAAGGGCAAGAUAAAUGUGAUUGAAUGUUAAGAAGAUAGUCUUUUUGAAGGUUAAAGAUCAAGGUUUUUCCGGAUGUUCAAAGAAGAUCAGUAAAGAGAGAAAUGUAGAAUUCCUGCUGCUGAAGCAUUUCUAUGCCAUUUUGGAAAAUGAGUUACAACAAGCUAGAGUUGCUAAAAUUUGAAAAUUUUUGGAGGUUAAAUGAUGACUAGUUGAUAAAGUCCAUACUCUGUACAGAAAAUUUAGAAAAUCUGCAGUUGCUGUGCUAAUUGGGUUUUAGAGCAAGCUAAUCACUGAAAACUUGAAUUCCAACUGUUGUUCUUGUCUUGUUAAAUUCUAAUCUAGUUUAUCCAGUGUUUCCAAGAUUUUUGAGCUGAGAAUUUGAUACAUAACAGAAACACAAGCUGAAAAUUGGAAACUAGAAAUCUAUUCUGCAGAAUGUGUUUGGUUACUGAAUUUGCAGUUAUGGGAAGUUUAAAUUCGAACUGAAUUUCUAUGAUCUUUUAAUAGAUUGUGGGGAAGCUUUGCUGCAUAUCGAAUACAAAAAGAAAAUAUAAUCUACAGGCAAAACAAUUUCUGAAGCAGAUUUCUUGGUUGCCUUGGCCGGUUAUCAUUUUGAUACCAUUUUGAUUGAUCUCUUGAUGAGUUUAAUUGUCCGAGACGGACAAAAAUUUUAAGUGUGGGGGAAGUAUAGUGUUUGGAAAGCAGUAAAAAUUCUUUCUAGUGUAAAAUUCUGAAAUUUCUGUGGGUUAAGCUGGAAUAUGUCAAAACAGUGAGGCAUGCAGUUUCAAAAUGCUGGAAGCUGUAUCAACUUGAUUUUUCUAAACUGAGACUAAUGGAAUUCAAGCUUACAUUGAUUGAAUACUAAAUGAAAUAAUCUAGAGGGAUUAUAGAUCAAAGGUUGAGCUAAAGCACCAAGGAGAUCAAUGUACAGAAAUAGAAUUUCAGAAUCUGUAGGUUUGAGAUUGAGUCCAAAUUGAGCUUUUAAAUUCGUGAAAUCCAGAAAUUCAACUUAAACAAAUGGAGAAACCUUUAAGGUGGAUUAAUUCAUUAGAAAUUUUGGAAUAAUAGUAAGCUUACUCAUGGCAAAUGAAGAGAAUAAAAGGGAACAUGGCCAAGGAAUUCAUCUAUAUAGCAUUUAAUUGUAUCCAUGUCUUCCACUAUUAUUUGAAUCAUAUCUUCUACUUUUCUUGCCCUAACAUUUAUACUUUGAUUUCAUCUGAUUCAUACUUUCUUUGUUAUCAUGAUAAGCCUUCAUAUUUAUGUAUUCUAAUGCUUUGGCUAGUGGUGAAAAAUAGAAGAUAAGCAAGCAUAUGGUACUGCAUGAACAUGAGUAGCUUAACUGUGCUCAACCAUUACAUGAAUUUGAGAUUAGGAUUGAGAGCCAUCCAAAAUUUCCUUGUGAGGAUUACUUUAUUGAUAUCAUUCUAAGUUUAUUCAUGGAUUGAAGUCAUUAGGGUGCUAACCAAGGGUAAGAAUUGAGUCCAUGAAUGUUUAAGUUGUUGAAACUUGACAAUCCUAGGUAAUUUGCUUUUAUUAUUUUCUAAACAUGAAUGAGAAUUGUUAGGGGGUACAACUUUAGUUGCUUCUUUAGUUUUGUUCACUUGCACGAGACGUGCAAGAAUAAGUGUGGGAGAUUUGAUAACUCAUGUAUUUGGCAUAUUCUUUUGGGUCGAUAGCGGGCUUAUUGGAUUUAAUUGCAUGUGUUAAUAUACAAUUAUUAUCAUGUUUAUUUGUGGAUGAUUAUUUUGAGCUUAAGUGCAUUUCUCUUCUAAUUCAUGAUAUUUUGUCACGAUUUGAUUCUUAUUUUGUAGGACACUUAAAUUGACUCCAAUUGACAUAUGAUUAAGGCCAACAAGUUUGGUUCAUACAAGAAAUGAAGAAGCUAAAGUCCUACUCAAUUCAACCCAUUCCAAGGAUCUCAACCAAAGCCAAAUCCUCCUCACCAAAACCCUAAAAUCCCUAUUGAACCAGACCCAAACUAGAUCCAAAGUCCGGUUUAAAACUGGGUAUUUAAACCUAGUUUCUCGCGGAUGAACAGUAGUUUAGGUUACUGUUCAUCCACGAUUUUCGCCCGCAACUCCCGAUUCCGACUCCGAUCAUCUUCUCAACCGUCGACGUUAGUGAGGGAGUUUCAAGGAAUCUACUAGACCAUCUUUCGACCAGCUGGAAGUUCACCGGAGGGAGGUUCCGAAGGCGAAUGUGCUACUAUCUAAAUUCUCUGUUUACGCCCUUGUUCGGCAGAGUUUCUCUGUCAUACAAAAGGCCGGAGUCGGCAAGAGUGUGAUGUUUGUUUAGUUUGGUUGCGAGUUUUGAUCGGUUUAUUUCAUUUACUA